UCAAUUCUGAUUGCAGAUUUUAUUGAUAAAAUUGACAACAAUGUAUCUGAAGAAUAUAUGUUAAUGUAAAAGAAAGAAAACCUGAUUGGACUCUAAAUGAAGCCUAAAAUUUAAAGUCAAAAGUAACCUUGCCCAUCCAGCCCUGCUGAGAGGGAGGAAACACUAUCAGAUGUGUGCAGCCAUCCCAGCUUCUAGAACGGGGGCUGUAAGGCAGGCAGUGCAGGCUGUUAGCAUCCCCAGGGUCCACAGCCCAGUGCUUUAGAUGUUAUGCUCUUCUUCAGCUCUUGGUUCAUCUCUCCUUGAACCUUUCACUCCAGCCUUAUCUAAAUACCAGAGUUUCUCAGGCACACCUUGCAAAACCUUGGUAACAAUCAAGGGGUUAAAUCUAAAUCUUUCAAAUCAAUAAGAACAAAAGUAAACACCCUAAUAGAAAAACAGGCAUGGACACAAAUAGGCAAUUUACAAAAGAAGAUACACAAAUUCCAAUAAAAUAGGGGAAAAUACUCAGCCUCACUAUUAAUCAAAGAAGUACAAUCGAAGGAACAGGAAGGUACUAGUCUUCGACAAUCAAUGGACAAACAAAUGCUAAUAUGCUGUGGGGAUUUGAACACCCAGGUGGCGCUGCUGGUAAAGAACCCACCUGCCAAUGCAGGACACCUAAGAGACUCUGGUUUGAGACUCCAUGGGGCCCGGAAGAUCUGGAAGAGGGCACGGCAACCCACCCCAGUAUUCUUCCCUGAGACUCCCAUGGACAAAGGAGCCUGGUGGGCUACGGUCCAUAGGGUUGCAAAGAGUCAGACAUGACGGAAGCAACUUAGCACACACGUGCAUAUUGCUAGUAGGGAUAUAAUCAGCUUCUAUCUUUUUAGGGGGAAUAUUUGCCUUGUCUAUCAAAGGCUGUAAAAUAUGCUUUGCCUUUGAUUCAGUGAUACAAUUUUAGGAAUGUAUAUAAAGGAAACGAUCAUACAAACAUUUUAAAAAAUCUAUAGGCAAAGAUUCAUGGCAGCAUUGCUUAUAAUACUGAAAAGUUAAAAACAACCCAAAAU
ensembl:lncRNA